rnacentral:rRNA from 1 species
GCUGGCGGCGUGCCUAAUACAUGCAAGUCGAACGCACAGCGAAAGGUGCUUGCACCUUUCAAGUGAGUGGCGAACGGGUGAGUAACACGUGGACAACCUGCCUCAAGGCUGGGGAUAACAUUUGGAAACAGAUGCUAAUACCGAAUAAAACUUAGUGUCGCAUGACAAAAAGUUAAAAGGCGCUUCGGCGUCACCUAGAGAUGGAUCCGCGGUGCAUUAGUUAGUUGGUGGGGUAAAGGCCUACCAAGACAAUGAUGCAUAGCCGAGUUGAGAGACUGAUCGGCCACAUUGGGACUGAGACACGGCCCAAACUCCUACGGGAGGCUGCAGUAGGGAAUCUUCCACAAUGGGCGAAAGCCUGAUGGAGCAACGCCGCGUGUGUGAUGAAGGCUUUCGGGUCGUAAAGCACUGUUGUAUGGGAAGAACAGCUAGAAUAGGAAAUGAUUUUAGUUUGACGGUACCAUACCAGAAAGGGACGGCUAAAUACGUGCCAGCAGCCGCGGUAAUACGUAUGUCCCGAGCGUUAUCCGGAUUUAUUGGGCGUAAAGCGAGCGCAGACGGUUUAUUAAGUCUGAUGUGAAAGCCCGGAGCUCAACUCCGGAAUGGCAUUGGAAACUGGUUAACUUGAGUGCAGUAGAGGUAAGUGGAACUCCAUGUGUAGCGGUGGAAUGCGUAGAUAUAUGGAAGAACACCAGUGGCGAAGGCGGCUUACUGGACUGCAACUGACGUUGAGGCUCGAAAGUGUGGGUAGCAAACAGGAUUAGAUACCCUGGUAGUCCACACCGUAAACGAUGAACACUAGGUGUUAGGAGGUUUCCGCCUCUUAGUGCCGAAGCUAACGCAUUAAGUGUUCCGCCUGGGGAGUACGACCGC